rnacentral:lncRNA from 1 species
CCACCAAUAAUGCUGCCACAAAUCCUGAUACAUCUUCACGAUGCCUGGAUGAAUAGAGUACCAGGAACUAUGGACCUCCUCUAAAACAAACUUAGGCACACAAACUCGACCAUGUAAUCUCAAAACUCCAUCAUCACCUAAGGUAACCUUCUUGGCACCUCCGUGCUGCACCAUGUCUCUAAGGACACACAAAUAGGGAUCAUCAUACCAUCGAUCUCAGCUCCGGUCCAAUAAUGCAAAAUGAGCGACUAUGUAUGCUAACAUACAGCUGGGCUCAGAAACAUCCAACCUCACAAACUGAUAGGACAAAGCCUGAACACCCAAAGCAAGCGGUCUCUCACCGACCAGAAUAUAU